rnacentral:rRNA from 1 species
ACGUAGGGGGCUAGCGUUGUCCGGAUUUAUUGGGCGUAAAGAGCGUGUAGGCGGCCAGGUAGGUCUGCUGUGAAAACUCGAGGCUCAACCUCGAGACGUCGGCGGAAACCAUCUGGCUAGAGUCCGGAAGAGGAGAGUGGAAUUCCUGGUGUAGCGGUGAAAUGCGCAGAUAUCAGGAAGAACACCCGUGGCGAAGGCGGCUCUCUGGGACGGUACUGACGCUGAGACGCGAAAGCGUGGGGAGCGAACAGGA